UACAGGUUCUUUGAGGUUAGCUUAGGAGUUUGGGGGGACGUCAAUCUCUCUCAUUAUGGAUUAAGGGUGGCUCGUAGGGGUUAUCAGUAAUGCAGGCUUCGUCGACUGGUUGCUGAGUUGUUUUGUACUGAGUUGAACAGCAGAUAGAUGUUUCAUAAUGGUCGAGUCUGAUGCAUGUAUACCUGUAGUGUCCUUAGUUCUUGUUCGUCUAUACACAUGUAGCCCCAUGUUCUCGUCUUGAACAGCUAAAUAAGUGGAUUCCAUGUACUUAUACUUAUCGAUAUGGAGAUAUUUUGUGACCCCCAAAGUUCUGUAAUCUGUAAGCCAUUUCAAUGCUCAUUAUUCAGCCUCGUUCUGUGGCUAAGAAAAUCAGAUCUCUCAA